AUUGAACGCUGGCGGCAUGCUUUACACAUGCAAGUCGAACGGUAACAGGCCGCAAGGUGCUGACGAGUGGCGAACGGGUGAGUAAUGCAUCGGAACGUGCCCAGUCGUGGGGGAUAACGCGGCGAAAGCUGUGCUAAUACCGCAUACGAUCUAUGGAUGAAAGCGGGGGACCGUAAGGCCCAGCGCGAUUGGAGCGGCCGAUGUCAGAUUAGGUAGUUGGUGGGGUAAAGGCCUACCAAGCCGACGAUCUGUAGCUGGUCUGAGAGGACGACCAGCCACACUGGGACUGAGACACGGCCCAGACUCCUACGGGAGGCAGCAGUGGGGAAUUUUGGACAAUGGGCGCAAGCCUGAUCCAGCAAUGCCGCGUGCAGGAAGAAGGCCUUCGGGUUGUAAACUGCUUUUGUACGGAACGAAACGGUCUGGGUUAAUACCCUGGGCUAAUGACGGUACCGUAAGAAUAAGCACCGGCUAACUACGUGCCAGCAGCCGCAGUAAGAC
rnacentral:rRNA from 1 species